rnacentral:rRNA from 1 species
GACGAACCGUGCGAACGUUGUUCGGAAUCACUGGGCUUAAAGGGCGCGUAGGCGGGCGACCAAGUCGGGGGUGAAAUCUUUCGGCCCAACCGGAAAAGGGCCCCCGAUACUGGCCGCCUCGAGGGGGGUAGGGGCGUGCGGAACUUCGGGUGGAGCGGUGAAAUGCGUAGAUAUCCGAAGGAACACCGGUGGCGAAAGCGGCGCGCUGGAUCUCUUCUGACGCUGAGGCGCGAAAGCCAGGGGAGCAAACGGG